AUUGAACGCUGGCGGCAGGCCUAACACAUGCAAGUCGAGCGGAUGAAGGGAGCUUGCUCCUGGAUUCAGCGGCGGACGGGUGAGUAAUGCCUAGGAAUCUGCCUCGUAGUGGGGGAUAACGUCCGGAAACGGGCGCUAAUACCGCAUACGUCCUGAGGGAGCAAGUGGGUGAUCUUCGGACCUCACGCUAUCAGAUGAGCCUAGGUCGGAUUAGCUAGUUGGUGGGGUAGAGGCCUACCAAGGCGACGAUCCGUAACUGGUCUGAGAGGAUGAUCAGUCACACUGGAACUGAGACACGGUCCAGACUCCUAAGGGAGGCAGCAGUGGGGAAUAUUGGACAAUGGGCGAAAGCCUGAUCCAGCCAUGCCGCGUGUGUGAAGAAGGUCUUCGGAUUGUAAAGCACUUUAAGUUGGGAGGAAGGGCAGUAAGUUAAUACCUUGCUGUUUUGACGUUACCAACAGAAUAAGCACCGGCUAACUUCGUG
rnacentral:rRNA from 1 species